rnacentral:lncRNA from 1 species
GACCAACGCCAGUUUACCUACAAAGUAAACAGAUCUACAGAGGAUGCAGUAGCCCUGCUGCUUCACACUGCACUGGAGCACCUGGAGCUAAAGAACACAUACAUCCGCAUUCUCUUUAUAGACUACAGUUCCGCUUUCAACACAAUCCUUCCAGGCAAACUCAUCUCCGAACUUCAGGACUUAAACCUCAAUGCUACACUGUGUAACUGGGUAUUGGACUUCCUGACCAAUCGCACACAGAGAGUACAACUGGGGAAGCACCACUCUUCAAAUCUGACCAUCAGCACUGGCGCGCCACAAGGUUGCGUGCUCAGCCCACUAUUAUACACUUUCUACACCCAUGACUGUACUCCCUCCUGCCCAUCCAACUACAUCUUCAAAUUUGCAGAUGACACAACAGUGCUUGGCCUCAUCUCCAACAACGAUGAGGCUGCCUACAGGCAAGAAGUGGGAAACCUGGCAGUCUGGUGUUCUGAGCACAACCUCAGUCUGAACAUAAAGAGAACGAAAGAGAUGAUCAUUGACUUCCGGAAGUCUGCCCAGCACAAUAACCAUCUCCCACUCCACAUCAACGGUGAGAGAGUCACCUCUUUUAAGUUUCUGGGUCUAACACUGACGGAGGAGUUGUCCUGGGACAACAACACAGCUUCCGUCUUGGGGGAAGCCCAGCAACGCCUCUUCUACCUCCGGAAGCUGAGGAAAGAACACCUUCCUCAGAGACUACUGAGCAACUUCUACCGCUGCGCUAUAGCGAGUGUGCUGACGUACUGCCUGAACGUAUGGUUCUCCAGUUGCACAAAGGCGGAGCAGGCAGCCAUCCAGAGGCUGAUUAAACCGCGGCAGGGAUCAUCGGAGCAGAGCUGCCCGACAUCUAUUCCAUCUCCACCUCCCGUUGCCUGCAGUGUUUAAAUCGCAUCCUCACGGACCCUUCCCACCCUGCCCAUCAUCUGUUCCCGUUACUCCCGUCAGGGAAAAGGUUCAGAUCCACAAAAGCACGCACCACCAGAAUGGCCAAGAGCUUCUAUCCUUGUGCAAUAAGGCUACUCAACAGCUCACCCAAUCCCGGCCCGCCCUGCCCCCAUGGACUGCACUCUAACACUACCCUGCAACUAUUGAUGCACCUCAAUGUAUAUAUAUAUUGCUUUUUUUUAUUUACUCAGGAAUAUUUAUUAAUGGUUAUUUAUUAUUAUCUAGCUGUGGCAGUUAAUGUGCACAGCAACUUCAGUUUUUUUUUUUUUUUUUAGCUGUCUGAUGCUGCCUCGUC